rnacentral:rRNA from 1 species
GAUGAACGCUGGCGGCGUGCUUAACACAUGCAAGUCGAACGGUGAAGCAGGAGCUUGCUCCUGUGGAUCAGUGGCGAACGGGUGAGUAACACGUGAGCAAUCUGCCCUGGACUCUGGGAUAAGCGUUGGAAACGACGUCUAAUACCGGAUACGAGGCGUGGGGCAUCCCCAACGCCUGGAAAGAAUUUCGGUCCAGGAUGAGCUCGCGGCCUAUCAGGUAGUUGGUGAGGUAACGGCUCACCAAGCCGACGAUGGGUAGCCGGCCUGAGAGGGUGACCGGCCACACUGGGACUGAGACACGGCCCAGACUCCUACGGGAGGCAGCAGUGGGGAAUAUUGCACAAUGGGCGCAAGCCUGAUGCAGCAACGCCGCGUGAGGGACGACGGCCUUCGGGUUGUAAACCUCUUUUAGCAGGGAAGAAGCGAAAGUGACGGUACCUGCAGAAAAAGCACCGGCUAACUACGUGCCAGCAGCCGCGGUAAAAC